UACGUAGGGGGCAAGCGUUGUCCGGAUUUAUUGGGCGUAAAGAGCGUGUAGGCGGCUUUGCAAGUCCGUUGUGAAAACUCGAGGCUCAACCUCGAGACGCCGGUGGAAACUGCAAAGCUAGAGUCCGGAAGAGGAGAGUGGAAUUCCUGGUGUAGCGGUGAAAUGCGCAGAUAUCAGGAAGAACACCCGUGGCGAAGGCGGCUCUCUGGGACGGUACUGACGCUGAGAGACGAAAGCUAGGGGAGCAAAUGGG
rnacentral:rRNA from 1 species